GAUGAACGCUGGCGGCGUGCCUAAUACAUGCAAGUCGAGCGAACGGACGAGAAGCUUGCUUCUCUGAUGUUAGCGGCGGACGGGUGAGUAACACGUGGAUAACCUACCUAUAAGACUGGGAUAACUUCGGGAAACCGGAGCUAAUACCGGAUAAUAUUUUGAACCGCAUGGUUCAAAAGUGAAAGACGGUCUUGCUGUCACUUAUAGAUGGAUCCGCGCUGCAUUAGCUAGUUGGUAAGGUAACGGCUUACCAAGGCAACGAUGCAUAGCCGACCUGAGAGGGUGAUCGGCCACACUGGAACUGAGACACGGUCCAGACUCCUACGGGAGGCAGCAGUAGGGAAUCUUCCGCAAUGGGCGAAAGCCUGACGGAGCAACGCCGCGUGAGUGAUGAAGGUCUUCGGAUCGUAAAACUCUGUUAUUAGGGAAGAACAUAUGUGUAAGUAACUGUGCACAUCUUGACGGUACCUAAUCAGAAAGCCACGGCUAACUACGUGCCAGCAGCCGCGGUAAUACGUAGGUGGCAAGCGUUAUCCGGAAUUAUUGGGCGUAAAGCGCGCGUAGGCGGUUUUUUAAGUCUGAUGUGAAAGCCCACGGCUCAACCGUGGAGGGUCAUUGGAAACUGGAAAACUUGAGUGCAGAAGAGGAAAGUGGAAUUCCAUGUGUAGCGGUGAAAUGCGCAGAGAUAUGGAGGAACACCAGUGGCGAAGGCGACUUUCUGGUCUGUAACUGACGCUGAUGUGCGAAAGCGUGGGGAUCAAACAGGAUUAGAUACCCUGGUAGUCCACGCCGUAAACGAUGAGUGCUAAGUGUUAGGGGGUUUCCGCCCCUUAGUGCUGCAGCUAACGCAUUAAGCACUCCGCCUGGGGAGUACGACCGCAAGGUUGAAACUCAAAGGAAUUGACGGGGACCCGCACAAGCGGUGGAGCAUGUGGUUUAAUUCGAAGCAACGCGAAGAACCUUACCAAAUCUUGACAUCCUUUGACAACUCUAGAGAUAGAGCCUUCCCCUUCGGGGGACAAAGUGGCAGGUGGUGCAUGGUUGUCGUCAGCUCGUGUCGUGAGAUGUUGGGUUGAGUCCCGCAACGAGCGCAACCCUUAAGCUUAGUUGCCAUCAUUAAGUUGGGCACUCUAAGUUGACUGCCGGUGACAAACCGGAGGAAGGUGGGGAUGACGUCAAAUCAUCAUGCCCCUUAUGAUUUGGGCUACACACGUGCUACAAUGGACAAUACAAAGGGCAGCGAAACCGCGAGGUCAAGCAAAUCCCAUAAAGUUGUUCUCAGUUCGGAUUGUAGUCUGCAACUCGACUACAUGAAGCUGGAAUCGCUAGUAAUCGUAGAUCAGCAUGCUACGGUGAAUACGUUCCCGGGUCU
rnacentral:rRNA from 1 species